rnacentral:rRNA from 1 species
UACGUAGGUGGCUAGCGUUGUCCGGAUUUACUGGGCGUAAAGAGCGCGCAGGCGGUCGUUCAAGUCGAGUGUGAAAGCCCCCGGCUCAACUGGGGAGGGUCACUCGAUACUGAUCGACUUGAAGGCGGGAGAGGGAAGCGGAAUUCCCGGUGUAGUGGUGAAAUGCGUAGAUAUCGGGAGGAACACCAGUGGCGAAGGCGGCUUCUGGCCCGUUCCUUGGACGCUGAGGCGCGAAAGCUAGGGUAGCAAACGGGG